UUGUCUCAGUGGUUCCCAGCAGACUCAAGGCUUCCAUAUGGCCUGUAGAGGAUCAGUGGUUAUAGACUUGCUGCUGGGAUGAGUGGGAACCUUUAAAAUGCUGGUACAGGAAGAGGAACAAUGGAGUAAUUUGCUGGGGAAUGCCCUGUGAGCCUAUCCGUGGACUGAUGGGAAUGCAAAGUUGAUGUAGAUGAGCACAUAUUCUCAGUGAGGAGACAGAUGACCCAAUCAGCUGGAAAAUGCAGAGGAAACAACGAUUGGUUUCUAGCUGUUGAAGAAGAGGGGACCCACAGACACUCCUGGAUCUUGCCUGCAUACAGCCCACUCUUGGGCAGUAGCUGCCUUAGCAGCCACCAGAACCUCAUUGCUUUCUCAGCUGUAAGUAGGGAUGGGUGAGUCAGAAUUCAGUUUUGCCUUGUUUUAACUGGGAUACCUGCUUUGUAAAUAUCUGCAACGGCUUAAAUACAGAAACACACCAAUCCAUUUGAUCUUUUCUAAUUCAAACCAUUAUAAUAGGAGAUAUAAAUGGGAACCACUGCUUCACUUCUUAAUGUUCAUAGACGGUCACACAGUUUCAGUGUAUUCCUGAUUUCUUAAAACUAUUGAUCAAAUAUUUACCUGUGGAAUAUGCUAUAUGAAGUUGUUAAGUUUCAUGUAGAAGUAUCAUCUUACUGGUUUUUUAAAAUUCUUCUGCUAUUGUUUCAGUAAAGCAAAAACACCUUUUACAUUAAUAAUAAUUCAAAUUAUGGAGUUCUAGUUGGCACUGUGCAACUAAAUCUACUCCCAAAAUGGAGGAGUAUUUUGUGCAUGCAAAUUCAAAAGGACAAGCCAUUGUAAAUCCUUUGUAACAGAAUUCCCAUCAGUUUUGA